AUGAGAAAGCCGAAGGGGGGGAGGGGGGGGAGGAGAGGGGUCUCUGCCGAGAGAGGAGGGCGAGGUCUCUGCCCCGGCCGGAGACGAGCGGAGAGCCGAAGCGCGGCCGCUUCCGACCCCCCGGGCGGAGGCGCCGGAGCCCCCCCCCCCCCCCCCCCCGGUCCCCCGGCCGGACGCACACGGAGGGAGACGGACGGAGACACCCACACACACGCACACACACGCACGGCGCGGUUCCGGCGGACCGACCCCCGAGUCAUCGUCCGUGGCGGGCCGGCCUCAGAGGACCGCUCCGCCGGGCUCCCGGGGGUAGAUCUCCUCGUAGGGCGGGGGCCGCUCGCCGGGCGGCGGGGAGCAGUAGGGGUAGGAGGCGUCCAGCUCGGGAUCGGACGGGGAGUAGCCGGGGAGCUCCACCGACGGGUGCCCCCCGCACUGCACCUCCACGCCGGCCUCGUCCAGCACGUGGAAGACGCCCACGUUGAUGUAGGACACCGAGUGGCGGGCGGGGAAGUCCCCGCCGCCGGGGGGCGAGAAGUCGGCCUCGUCCGGGGAGAAGAUGGAGCCGUCGCUCCGCCGCGGCUGCAGCCGCCGCCCGGCCCGCCGCGCCCUCUGCAGCCGCCGCUGGCGGGGCGGGUAGGGGUGGGCGUGCGGGGGUCCGCGCCCGCCGCCGCCCGCGCCGCCCCCGCCGGUCCGCCCGCCCCCGCCGCAGCCCCCGGCCCGGCCCGCCCGGCCGCCCCGCCGCCGGCCCCGCCGGCCCCGCCGCGCCUGGGAGGACUUGUAGUUCUUCACCAGGAGCAGGUUGACCAAGCCCAGGAGGCACUCGAGCGAGUUGAACACGGUGGAGAUGACCAGGCCCCGCUGGUAGUCCUUCAGCUUCUGGCACUUGGCCGACGUGGAGCUGUCCAGAGACGAGCCGCGGGGCCGCGCCGGGGCCGGGACCUGCGCCGGCCCGAGCUGGCCCUCCUGGCCGCCCGCCGCCGGGCCCCGCUGCUGCUCUUGCACCUGCAGCUGCUGCACCUGCUGCUGCUCUUGCACCUGCAGCUGCUGCACUUGCUGCUGCUGCUGCACCUGCUGCACCUGCUGCAGGCAGUAGUGCGAGUACUUCCUCUCCACCAACGACACGGUGUCACCGUCGAUGACGGCCCCGGCGAAGGCGCUGAGAACGCCCAGCAUGAACACCAGCACCCCCAGCAGCAGGAAGUUCUGGCUGGCCGGAGCGGGGCCGCCCCCCUCCCGCGCCUCCGCCCCCCCCGCCGGCCCCGCGGCCCCCGCCGCCCCCGCCGCCGGAGUCCCCGCGGGGCCGCCCGCCGCGCCGCCCGCCGCGCCGCCCGCCUCGUCCCCGGGGCGGCAGCACAGGAGGGCGGAGCCGAGGAGCGAGAGGCCGGCGGCCAGGAGCAGCCCGGAGUAGAAGGCUCCGGCCGCCGUGCCCAGGCGGAACGGCUCCCCCCGGAGCUCGGAGCCCAGCGAGAAGCACUUCAGCCCCACGGCGGCGGCGCUGAGCGCGCAGGCGAGCAGCAGGCAGGAGGAGAGGGCGGCGCAGGCUCCCCGGACGCUCCACUUCAUCCUCCGCCGCCCCGCCGCCCCGCUUCCCCGCGCUGCUGCUGCCGCUGCCCCCGCCGCCGCGCCGCCGCCUCCUUCUCCUCCUCAGCCGCCGCCGCCGCCCUCCUCCGCCUCCCCCGCCUCCUCCCGGCGCCGUGCGGCCGGCCCGCUCGCCUCCUCCUCAUCCUCCCGUGUCCUUCCCGGCGGCCGCCGCCGCCGCCGCCGCGCCCUGCGCCGCCGCGGGAGACAUGCCGCCGCCGCCGCCGCCGCUCCCCCGGCUCCCCCGGCUCCCCCGGCGGCGGCGGAGGACGAGGACGAGGAGAUGAUGGGGGGGCGGAGGGGGCAGGCCCGCCAACCGCCGCCGCCGCCUCGCGCGCAGGCAACCGCCGGCGGCCGGGCUCGGGGAUCGGACGCCUCGGCGGCGGCGGCGGCGACGACGAGGAGCAGCGGCAACGGCGACGGCUGCGACUGCCACUGGCGGGGGCGGCUCCGGCAGCGCCGCUCCCCCUCCCUUCCUCCGUCCGUCCGUCCCUCCCUCCCUCCCCGGCCCCCGCCCUCCGUCCCUCCCCCUGGCGGGGCCGCCCGCCUCCCGGACCCCCUCCCCCGCCCCCCCAGGGAGGGCGGGAGGCCAGAGCGGAGCCGGUGCUCGGCCCUGUCAUCCGACUCGGCCCUCCCCCGCUCUCAGACGGGGGCGACAUCCAGAAGGGGCUCCGCCCGUCUGGGACCGGCCGCUCGGCCGGGGGCGCUGGGGGGGGGGGCGGGCAAUCCCCAGGGACCCGACCGAACCCCCCCCCCCCUCGUUGCCCCUUGACGGCUCCCCGUCUUCACCCGUCCCUUGGCUCGCCUUUCUUUCUCCUCGCCCCGGCCCCCUUCGCCUUUGCCCUCUCUGCUGGCCUCCCACGGCCGUCUGAUCGUGCGGGGAGAGGUGGGGGAGAUGGCCACUCUCUACUGCCACCCACUCGGACCGUGAGGGUCCAGUCGCGGCGGGGCCACCCCCUCCCUGGCUCGGAGGUGGCCUUUUCGGGACCGGCAGAGUUUAGAAGUUGUCCCGAGACGGACGACGCCCUGCCCCCGAGCCGACAGACCCAGAGGAUGGGGGCACUCGCUACCUAG
rnacentral:lncRNA from 1 species